rnacentral:rRNA from 1 species
AUACCUACGGGGGGCAGCAGUGGGGAAUAUUGCACAAUGGGGGAAACCCUGAUGCAGCGACGCCGCGUGAGUGAAGAAGUAUCUCGGUACGUAAAGCUCUAUCAGCAGGGAAGAAAAAAAGUCUUUGGCUUUGGACGGUACCUGACUAAGAAGCCCUGGCUAACUACGUGCCAGCAGCCGCGGUAAUACGUAGGGGGCAAGCGUUGUCCGGAAUUACUGGGUGUAAAGGGAGCGUAGGCGGGAGGAUAAGUUGAAUGUGAAAUCUAUG